AAUGCUCUUUUGAACACAUCACUUCCCUGUACCCAUGGGACAAAGGCAACAGGAAGGGCUGCCACUCACAGGCCACACCUAUUCCUUAGUGAAGGAGAUCUGAGCAAAGGAGUACAAAUGCUUUGCACCCUGCCAGGCUUCAGGCAAUGUAGCACCUUUGUAGUCAGCCCAUGGGACUCUUUUGGAGGCUGUGCCUGGCAGCAAGGGGGAGAGAGAUCCUUAUUACUACUCUGAAUGCAACACGUUGUCUCAAAACCAUCUAUAGAGCUCCAGGCCCAGAGAUGUUCCCCUACCACAGAGGCUUACUGGUGUUUCGCAGGGUCCUGGUGGCGAAUGCAGCUGCCUCCCCUGCAGAGAGGCUGAGCCUGGUCGGAGCAAGAAGCUCGGCUGCACCGCUCACCUGCAGGAGAAGGACCCAUCACUCCGUGCUGGUACCGUUGUCAGCAGUGCUCUUGCCGAUUGCAAGACUGGUGGAAGCAUCAAAGGGGUGCCCUUGGAAUGUGUGCCUAAUGAUGAUCAAUGAAAAUAGAAGCCCUGUUGCAGCGAGACUCAUGAGGUCCUGCUCACAGCUGGCACACAGAGGCAUGGCUGUAAAAAGAAGAUGCUGGGCAUCAGGACUAAUUGUCCCACCAGAUUCCUCCUCACCUUGGAAAACCCUUGUCUCCUCCCAGCAGGGGAGAUGGGCCGCCUGUCCUGGUGUGGAUACUGGUAUGCCAGCCAGAUGCUCUGCGAGCAGGCCUAGCAUGCGACGCUGUGUAGAAAUCAGAAUCCCUUGUGUACUUCCAAGGAAAUCCAUGGGAGCGGGUGGACAUGGACCCAGUGGCUUAAUCCCCUUCCCACCACUCUGUGGAGCUUGUGAGAGGACGAGGAGAGGACGGAGGCAUCUGAGCCUCGGAUGGACAGCAUCUCUCCGCUGCCUGAAGCACCUCUGCCUCCGGGAAAGGAAGGGGAAUGAGGUCGAGUGACAAAGCAAACGCACAGGCUGCCCCUGAAUCCCUCAUUGACUUGAAACCCAUCCUUCAGAGGCAACCAGCAGCUUCCAGACCAGCCUUUCAUCAUUCGUUGUCCUUCCUAAUGAGAACGACAUUAGACUUUUACCUCAACCCGACUACAAUGAUUUCACUGUAGAAAAUGAUCAUCUCCACACUUCAGAAGCACUGAUGAUGUUUGCUAUUGGCUGCAUAAAACCCCUAAAAUGCUUUCAAAUUAAAGUCCUGCCAUAAUAACUGUUUUUUUUCUUUUUGUAUUUCCAUAUGCUACAGAGAGGAGCAGAAUCAUUAUUUUCCAUCAGUUAAUUUAGAAGUGGCUGAAAGACCCCAACAGUAAUCCUCUGAAAGUUUCUGCAAGUAAACAUGAGAACUGGUCUCUGCUCUGAAGAAUCAAGGAACUAAAAUACCACAGUGGCAUCUUUUAUGCUGAGCAUCACCCCUGUGCCUUUACUCUAUUUUUCCUUAAGCGUCUGUAACUAGACUGUUAAGCAUUUCAGCCAUGUGACUAAUCCCCGCAGGCUUCGCCAAUGGCAAUAAUAUCAAAUUUCUUCUCAUCAAUGGGAAUUUCCAUUUCCAGCUUGCUUGUUACCCCCAUGUCUAGGACUGCUGUAUAAGUAAUAGGAAAACCUCUUUUUCUUCACAACUUUAUCACACCAGCUCAAUUUGUUUGCAACAUGCUGAGCUUGAGUUAGGAUUGCAUUUGCCUUCUUAGCACCUUCCCUUUGUGUCAUUAGUCAAGCGACCGCCUGGCUGCUCCAGCUUGUUUCUGACAGAACAGAGUAGCUUUGAGAUGGAGGCCAUUUUGCUCAUCUGUGAUUGCAUAUAUAUAUAAAAGACUGAAAACGGCAUUACAAAACCUCCAGCAACUCGUCUACACGCUGCAGCCACUUAUUUUCCAGUGACACCAGAACACUUUUUCCUACUCACCAGCUGGUGAGAAGUGUCAAGCGACAACGCCAGCAGCUCACACGAAGAAUUGCUGCCUUCAAACACCAAACUUCAUUGCUGUGAGUACAACCACGUCAUCCCUGCUGCUGCUGGUCCUUGAAUACACUUGUGCCUGGAGUGCCCCUUUGCCUCAUUUCAUUCCCCAGUAGCUGCUGGUAGGUGGGAGAAAGGGUGGGCAUCACCCUCCAAGUCGUCAGCGUCACAACAGAGGAACUGCCGAAUCAGAUGUCAUCUGGGAAAUUCUUCUUCAGCAGUAACACCUUUCGUGCCAAGGAAUCAUACAGACCGACUAGCACUCCUCCUCCGUGUUCACAGCCACUGUACCGAUCGAGCUGUUUGUCAUCUGUCAUGCUGACACAAAGCUGGGACCAGCGGCACAGGAGCUCUGUCUCCUGAGCUGGUCAGAGAGAAAGUUACCUGCGUCCCCUUUUCCUUUGUGGGAGGCUGACAUACAAUGAAAUUUGAUGACCACAGAUGGGAGGGAGAAAGAGGCUUCUGGUGGUAGCCCUGGGCUACAAGUGGGUGAUUAUCAAAUGGAGAACAAUUAAUUCAAAAAAGCCCCAAUUUAAGAAAGCACUCAGACGUGGUUUUCUCUAAUAAUGUCUCUAAGAUGUUUCUUGUCUGGAAAAGGAUGUAAAUACAGGCAGCCUUAAGCAUGUGCUGAGGAACUCUGUGGCAGAGACCUCAACUGUGUAAAAAAUGGUCGCCGUACUGUAGAGGAAAAUGACGAUAUAAAGCAUUUCUCCAGGGCUGCCUGGCACUAAUGACUUUAAUACAGCGAGUUGAACAAACUUAUGUGGCAGCAGUGACUGUGAAGGAGGACUUUUAACUUGCCUACAAUAACUACCUUGCGAGGAGCUGAGUGCUUCAGUCAGCGUGAUGAAUAGGGACUAGGAGCCAGUGGAAGGCCAGCGGGAGGAGGCGGUGUGGAAGGUGGAGCUGGAUGGGGCAGGGCACAGGGCACGGCUGUAGGAGAGCACCUCUGGCAGCACAACAGCGAUGUGGUGGAGCACGUGCUUGAUUCCUCAAGUUUGCAGCAAAAAGCUUGGCUGCAUGGUGAAGGAUCUGCCAAAUUGGGACUUACUUAGAAAUGCAGAAGUGAUACAGAUAAAGUGCAUGCAUGAGCACACACUUCCCCAAAAAUGUACAGGCUCAGGGAGGAGGUUGGCAAAUGACCAUGACCUCAGAUGAAUCCAUAGCAGAUCCAAGCCUUACAGGAAGGUAAAAAAGAAAUAGUGUGACAAUAGAAUGUGUGAGUCUGCUAACACUGCUUACACCACGGCUGUUCCUGUGCAUCAGCAGGCAGUGACAGAAGACACAGGCAGAGUUACAGGAACCAGGACUUUACAGAGCUGAUGGAGGGGCCAGCGCUGAAUGCUGAAGCUUGCUUGCUCUCUGUCUCUGCAUCCAUCCCCAGGCUGAUGUUCCAGUGCCUGUAGGUCUCCUCCUGCAAUCAGUCUCAGUACUGUUCACCAGACUGAGCCAUACUUCCAAUUAUAUUUAUAGGCCUAUUAGUAAAACUUGUGAUCUAUUCAUAGACAAGCCAUGAACACAAGAAGAGAGUCAAACGCAGUCAAUAAAUUGCCUGCAAGAAGUAAACUGUGCCA
rnacentral:lncRNA from 1 species